UGGAGCAACAGUACCUUUCUAACUCUCAAAAGAGACUGCUAAGAAAGUAGUCGUGGGAAGGCUACCAAAAAGCUCUACAAAACAGCAACCCAAACAUGGUGGAAUACAAAAGCCUAACAGAGCUGUCACCUUGUUGACGGUCCUUAAUGCUCACAUUUAACCAUCAACUAAUCAUGGAAAAGGAUCCAAAUGCAACCAACACCCAUACUUAGGGUUUUAUCUGACAGAAUUCCACGAGUUUUGGUGUUUGUCUAUUUCUGCAGGGGGUUAUCAGGAAAUACGGUGGAAAGGCCCACACGUCGGGUUUACAUAGAGAUAUUAAUGUGUCGCGCAAUUUUCUAUCAUCUAGAAGACUCC
rnacentral:lncRNA from 1 species